rnacentral:rRNA from 1 species
AGAGUUUGAUCCUGGCUCAGGACGAACGCUGGCGGCGUGCUUAACACAUGCAAGUCGAACGGUGAAGCCCUUCGGGGUGGAUCAGUGGCGAACGGGUGAGUAACACGUGGGCAAUCUGCCCUGCACUCUGGGACAAGCCCUGGAAACGGGGUCUAAUACCGGAUAUUAUCUGCCGAGGCAUCUUGGUGGGUGGAAAGCUCCGGCGGUGCAGGAUGAGCCCGCGGCCUAUCAGCUUGUUGGUGGGGUGAUGGCCUACCAAGGCGACGACGGGUAGCCGGCCUGAGAGGGCGACCGGCCACACUGGGACUGAGACACGGCCCAGACUCCUACGGGAGGCAGCAGUGGGGAAUAUUGCACAAUGGGCGAAAGCCUGAUGCAGCGACGCCGCGUGAGGGAUGACGGCCUUCGGGUUGUAAACCUCUUUCAGCAGGGAAGAAGCGCGAGUGACGGUACCUGCAGAAGAAGCACCGGCUAACUACGUGCCAGCAGCCGCGGUAAUACGUAGGGUGCGAGCGUUGUCCGGAAUUAUUGGGCGUAAAGAGCUCGUAGGCGGUCUGUCGCGUCGGAUGUGAAAGCCCGGGGCUUAACCCCGGGUCUGCAUUCGAUACGGGCAGACUAGAGUGUGGUAGGGGAGAUCGGAAUUCCUGGUGUAGCGGUGAAAUGCGCAGAUAUCAGGAGGAACACCGGUGGCGAAGGCGGAUCUCUGGGCCAUUACUGACGCUGAGGAGCGAAAGCGUGGGGAGCGAACAGGAUUAGAUACCCCGGUAGUCC